UACGUAGGUGACAAGCGUUGUCCGGAAUUAUUGGGCGUAAAGAGCUCGUAGGCGGCUUGUCGCGUCGGCUGUGAAAACCUAGGGCUCAACCCUGGGCCUGCAGCCGAUACGGGCAAGCUAGAAUUCGGUAGGGGAGACUGGAAUUCCUGGUGGAGCGGUGAAAUGCGUUGAUAUCAUCAGGAACACCGGUGGCGAAGGCGGCUUUCUGGGUCUUACCUGACGCUGAGGAACGAAAGCCAGGGGAGCGAACGGG
rnacentral:rRNA from 1 species